AAUUAUAUUGAUAGAUAAAAUGGAUAGAUAACUUGAUAUAAAUAGGAAACAGAAGGUUGACGAGUACUAACUCAACAAUAUGAAUUUCAACGGCUUCUUUGUAUACUUUUGUGUGGUUAUGACUGUUUUGGUCCUCUUCGCCGGUCAGUCUGAAGCUAUUUAUCCAGGAUACCACAAGACAGAUGAGUGAAUCAAACAAACACAAGAAACCGUAAUUUUUGCAUCGAUCUGCAAUGAAAUAAAAAAUUCUGCAAUA